CCCUCUUCUUGUCUCGCCGUGUUCCCUGUCGGAUCGGCUCGCUACUGCUGCUCCCAACUGCAUGCAAGGCUUCAGUAUUAGCGAAACAACAAUUUCAGAAAAAAACGAACACCAAAAACACAAGAAAUCCAACCAGGAAUAGAAAACAGGUAUUCAGAGCAAUUUCUUCAGUGACACAAUGCUUAACUGUUCCUGGGUUCAUGGAAGCCAUGCUGCUCAGGAGGUAUAGGAGGCCAGGCAAAGGUCUUAAUCUUUGCUUACAAGUGACUUCAUGUUCUCUCUUGCAUCAAGCCUACAUGAUAUGGGUUUUACAUCAGGUCUCCCAGAGCUUCAUGCAGCAUUGACUCCUCAUAACAGAAACCUCCUGUUCAUACUUCAGAUGAGACAGUGUUGUACAGAGCCAAGGCCAUUCACAGUGAAGGGCCCAAGAAGCUGGGAAGGAACAGAAUUAGGACAGCUGACUUAAACUGGACAAAGUGAUAUUCCAUGCCAUAUGACAUCAAGUGAAAGGAGUUUUGAAGGGGGUAAUGAAGUUGGGAAAGAUUAGCAACUGACUAGAAAAAUAUAACAUUUCCAAAAUCAAUACUCUUGUUGACAGCUGACAUGGGAUUCACCCUUAAUUCUGAAACAGUUUUACUCAUAGCUACUCUAAGGAAAGGAAACAUGCUAUUAUGGAUAAAUUUAGAACAGGUAAACUUUUAUAUAUUUUUGAAAGCAGUUUAUUUAAACUAAUCUAAUUUUAGCUAGGGUAUCUCUUGCCUCUUAACUAUUUCUUACGUCUGUAUUUAGAACUGGAGUUAAAAGAAUAUGAUAGGUCACAACACAGCACCCCACAAAACAAAAUACAGACAACUCUGAGUCCUUCACCUGUUCUUUUGUCUGUGGAAGUGAAAGUACAUUUUUUCUUGAGUGGGUUCAUGUGAAAACAGAGACACAGAGUGUAUAGUAAAGCCCUACUAGAGAACAAAGUAAGCAUUACUUGUUUUGAUUCUUCAUAUGACAGCAUCUCAUUUAUUUAUUGCUUUGUCUUUUGCGUCUUUUGCAUGCUCUCACUAAUUAUAAAAGUGCCUAUAAAAUCCUUCAAGUCAGGAAGCAGGAUCUAAACAAAAUUUAAUUUCAAUAAAGCUGCAUAAUUGAUCUACCCAGCUGACAGUUUCUUGAAGAUAUUGAAAACAAUGGCAAAUUAUCUCAAAAGCAAGUGAUUUUCUACUCCAUAAUCAUCUCAUAUUCAUAUUUUUACAUGACAUUUUACUUCAAACAGACCCAACCAACUUCAGAAUCUCUUCCUACUGAUAUGCAGAGAGCAAGCAGACUUUUCCUCUAGGUGCCAACUAAAAGAAAAAAAUUGGAUUUAAAAGGGUGUUGCACAUGAAUUUUAGUAGAAUAUUCAGUGUUGCAUUUGCCCUUUCUUAAGGCAAGAAGGUUAGAUUCUUAAGGUUAGAAUUGAAAACUCAGUAGCUUAAGUUUUCUUCAUAGAGAUUUUUAAUAACCUGGUCAUCCUAACAGCACUUCUUAGCCACCUUCAUUUUAACCAUUUUCCUAGUUUAAUUACAUUUCUAUUUCUCUUGAACUAGACAUAAUUUAGUUGCCAAUCUAGACUUCAGAGAGAUUCUGUUCUUUACUAAGUUGUAAUCUGAAUUGUUAGAAUUUACGAGGUAGCAGAAUAAAAAUUCUAGAAGUGACACAGCACAAGUGUAUUUUGGCUAGUUUACUACUGUGGAUUUAUAAGACAUUACAUUAUGGCAACAGAGUGUUUUCAGGGCCAUGGGUACAGGAAUCACACUUGCAUGAAAUGAAAAUAUGUCUGUGAAGAAACACUCUUUCUAAAACAGGGUAAAUCUUGUUAAGACAUUUUUAUUGUACAGAAACUGUGAACAAUAAUAAGUCAGGAUUUAUGUGUUUGAUAUAACGGACUAUUAAAACAAGCAUGAGACAUUGUUUAGUGUAAGGAACAAAAAAUUAUUCUCUAAGAGAAUUUCUGCUAACGCAAUUUCCUAUGAACUGAAUUCAUAGAGGCUAUCUUAUUAAAAAAAAACAAAACAAUUUCACGUGGAGCCUCUCUAUUUUUGGGUAUAAAAUUUCAUAUAAUAUUACUCUUUUUAUUCCUGUGGAAAAUGUGUGUACAUAGUUAGAAGACUGGGGAAAAAAAUCCAGCCCUGGUAUAACUAAGAUGAGUAUGAACAGACAAGUGAAGAAAGAGAAAUUUUAGAACAUAGCUCAUUUUACUAAAAAAGAAAUAAGAAAUGUCAUACCCUGAUAUUCAUUGUCUCAGAAGUUGUUCCCUUAAUUUUAGCUAAACAUUCUUUAAUCAGGUUUGGAAACAGGAUAGAUAAAAUCAAGCAAAAUAUUCCAUCGGUAAUUAUAGAUUACUGACUUUCCCCUCUGCUUCCAUUAUGGUACAACUGACAGUAAUCCAAGAACCAAGCUAAGCACCAUCUGUUGGGUACAGAUGAGAAUUUCCUAUGGAGUGCACAAAGCUCAUAAACUGGUAUGGCACAGGCAAAAAUAACCUUGCAGGAAUGAGCGCUGCUGAAAGAGCUCUCCAGAAACAGGGCCUUCACGGAGUUGUCUUCCUGAUGCUGUUUCUUGCUGCAGAGCAGCUGUUUGUUAUGCAGUAUCUACGUCAUGUGCUUAGGCCUUGUGACUUCAUAAUGUGCUGACGCCUUUUACCGCGUCCAAUCUUCCUGAGCUCAACUGAAAGGCAACUUAGCUAAUCGUCGGCUAGCAAGCAAAACAAGACGAAACCUGCUGAGAUGGCCACGAGCCAAGGUAAGGUGCGGAGACUGUGCUGUGAAGUUGGUAAAAAACGUGUGACCGUUGAGUAGGAACAGAAAAAUUGCUUACUUUAGGUAGGUGAGAUUGCUUUAACUGUAGUCUGUGUUUGUUGAUGAAGUGUUAAUUGGUAAAGAGGACUAAAUCUCGUCUAGUUAUAAAUGUUUCUAAGAGAGAUCUGUCUGUUGGCCCUUGCUUUAAAAUGCAUCCGAAAAUUGUUCGGGGUAGUGGUAGUGUGUUUUUUUUAUUUUUAUUUUUUAUUUUUGCUAUGUUUCUGUAGGGGUCUGUAGAACAAGGUUCUAUCCUGAAGUCAGUAUUUGUGGUAGCAAAGGUAAUUAUUAUUGUUUUUUUUUUUUUUUAUUCCUUUGAGGUAUGUACUGAGCCUAAAUUUAUUAGCUAUGACCUGUUGAUAUACCACAUAUUACACUACUUGAAAAACAGGCUGUAUAGCCUUGGGAAUUAGCGAAAUAUGAUUUAAUGAAAUAUUAUGUAGGUGUUCCUUGCUUGGUGUUUGGUUGUUGCUGCUGAGGAAUUGCUUUCAAAAGCAGUACUUCAGGGAUGUCCUGGAAAGUGAUAUGUCGGGUAGGAGACAGCAGGAAUAACCUACCAAAGAUGUGUGGAAAGCUGUUGUGUUGAUUUCUCUUGUACGAAGCUACAGGAGGAACGUAUAAGAACGGUUGUAAAUAUAAGAAUGACAUGAAGACUGUUGUCAGUGAAGAUGAUGGGUGGCACCAGUAAUUCCAAUGUUCGAGAUGCAGAUUUAUUAAGUCUGAGAUUGAAUUCUGCUUUAACAGCUGCUUUGCAGUAUGAAUAGUUGUGCUAGUCGUCCUGAACUUGCCCUAAACUGCCCUUAGCUUAAUAAUAUAUAGUAAGUAGAACCGUAGGACUGAUGUUUUGUAGCGUGUCUGACACAUGGCUUUGUUUCUUAUCUUGAGGUGUUCACAGGUUGUUUUUGAAAACAAAAGGUAACUUUACAGUGUUUUCCAGCUGCGAUAUGGGGAGAUAAUGAGUAGCUAACAGAAUUACAUGAAUUAUUUAAACAGUUAUACCGGUUCCUCAGGCAUUUACUUCAGCCAUUGUUAUGUGGAGUUGACGUUGCUAGGUUUUACUGAGACAUAGUGAGUAAUUAUGAGCGAGGCAAACUGCAUUUAACUAGGGAAUAGUGACAGAAUGAUUAGAUUAAGCACAUCCAGUGUUGGUAUGAAAUAAAUAUCUCUAAUAAGCUUUUUCUAAAACCUGUUCAUCUGAAGAAAAAUUAAAAAUGCUAAUAAUGAAACUUUAAAAGUCAAAACAGUCAUUAGUUUGUGCAAACGGUUCCAGAAUAAGAAGUAAAUUUUCUGUUCCAAAAUUUCAGUUAAAUGAAUCUGAAGCAACUUCAGUUUGUAAAAACAAAAAUUGAAAGUGGCUAGCCUCUGGUAUGCCCUCAAAUUCUUUGACAAUCUACUAACAUGGAGAUAAUGGCUCUAAAGAGGGCUAUAAAUAAUUCGAGCAGUUCAAUUUGCAGGAGGAACAACUUUACAUAAUUUUUAAAGUCUGCCUCCUAUCACGCUUCAUAAACAGGUGAAAAAAAAGCUUAAGAGCAAGAGUAAUCACUAGAGUCAUGCUUAGGGUAUGGGUGCUGGCUAUCAGAUGUAGAAACUCGUAGGAAGUGUUGCUCUAUAUCAGUGCAGUCUCUGAUAAACUGUAACUGCUUAGUUUCAAGACUACAGUAAAUAUCUUUGUGUUUUUUAGAUAUCUUUUAAAAUCCUGAUUAAUUAGGAUGUGCAACUGGACUUGUUAUCUAACUGCUAGUAUGCUGAUUCAAAACUAAUAUUAAAUUUGAUGUAGAGCUUUCAUGUCACCAUGCAAAGCAGAGUGCCAAUGAUUGCCUGAUGCUUUCUUCUUGCUGUAGUUGCUGUCACUGAGGGUCUACAUCUUAAUUCCUUUCCGUAUUGAUUCUUGAAAAUCCUCGGGGCAUGAAAAUAUCCUUUAUGAAGUACAUAUGCUUAUAAGACACUUCAGAUUCUCAGUUUUUUUUUUAAUUUCUGGACAUUAAAGUUUUGGACCAGUGAUCAAGUGCCCAAAUCAUUGGAACUGAAAAGACUUGAUUAAUAACAAAUGUUUCUUAAUUGUCCCUUAGCACUUCUUUGUGACAGUAUUUCAUAUUAAAUUUUUCAUUUGUAAAUUUUGUGCUAUUGUGGCAGCUAUAUUUUAUAUGAAACUAAGUAACGUGCUGUUCAGACAAGGAAAAAUUGCUGUGCAUGUUGUCCAAAAAUGGUGUCGAGGACCUGAAAGGUAUGUAUAUGGUAUCUGUAGGGACUUGUCUCAAAACACGCAACCCAGUCUGUGGUGGGGCAGCAGUUGUGGUUAGCAGGCCUUACUGAAGGCUGGGGACAAUUUACAUAUUCCUGAGUCUCCAACAGAGCAAGUAUAGGAACAAGGUCAAGCAAAGGUCAGGCGCCCAGUGGCGUUGUUCUGCUUAAUCGACCAUUUGAGGCAUCCAUGUAUGUCCUCUAUGUUUUUUGGGAAAAUUCCCUGAAUCCAAGUACAGCAUGCGUGAAUAAUGGCACCGCCCCUUAAGAACUCAGAGCUGCUGUUUCUAUAAAAACAUCUGUCUGGAGAGGUUUCAGGUGGAGACUCUUCUCUCAGAUAAAAAAGCUGAAGACUCCAUUGAUGGAUCCCAGGGUGGUGACUGUGUGUGUGUGUAUAUAUAUGUAUAUACACACAUUUAUAGAGUGUAUAUAUACAUCUACUUUUUAAAAUCAUUUUCAUUAUUAUUUGUUCUCCUAUCUCUCUCUACUUUGACUCAGGGUAGUUAGUAGCGAUUAAAUACACUGAGUCUUGUUGUUCCAUGUCUUUUGCUGUUACCAAAUUUGCUUGAUUUUUCUGUUUUGUUAUCAGAUUUGCUCAAGCUGGGGUUUUGCAUAACUCUUGUUGUAAAAUAUUGAGGAGAGUAUAUUGAAUAAUUGAUUGUUUAAUCUUGUUGCUUUUCCUGGAUCAUUAAAGUUGCUGAGACAUAGUGACCCUACUGCUUCGUGGCCCAACUGACUGGGGAAAUUUCUCAGCAAGUAAAAAAGCUCACCUCCCUUGAAACCCAUUGAAUGGGAUGAGAUGGACAGAUUCAUUACCCAGGGUGCAAUUAGCCAAUCUCACACACAGAGGCAAGAUAUAGAGAUUUAUUGCAAAAUUAUGCAUGUUUGAGUGCUAGGUGUUUUCUGACAGUGCACAAGAGGGAUUUUCCAUAGUGCUGUUUCUGCACAUUUUUAUCAUUUUAUCACAUUUUUAUUACUUUAUCACAAUAUAGACUCCAUCUCUACAACUGGUUACCUAAUUUGCAUACUUAUACACGGUAUAUCACACAAUACUUUUGAUAUUGCACAGGCUUAUUGAGAGGGUCUCCAGGUGAACCUGGGUCUUCAAGCCAGUGGAUGUGGAUUUUUUUUUUUAGUAUAUAGUUAAGGAUGGGGCUAAUCUCCCUUUCUUAUGACUGCUCUCACCAUGCUGAUGAAUGUUUAGUUCAUGUAUUUACGGGAUGUUCCUGACUUCAAGGGCAACCUUAGUAACCAGACUGUGAUUGAGUUCCUUUACUUAAACGGUUUUGAUGAUUCUACACAAAAGUAUGUAUUUGCUAUAUUUAAUUGUACCAUACAAAAUCUUGUACAAAUGUUAGUUCUUACUUGACUUAGCAAGUACAUCUAAAACUCUCUAUAUGAAAAUAAUAUAAAUAUAUGCAUUAACUUGUUACAGCCUUACUGCUAUUGAGGACCACAGUUAACUUUUUUUCUGAAUACACUGCUGUGUUUGUAAGCAUAGACCAAGAGUUUCCAUGACCUUUUUUUAUUUGCACUGCUCUUCUGAUAACACCAACAGGUGUCUUAAAUCCUGUUUAGACUACACUUACAUGUCAUACACAUGUAAACCUUCCAGCUCCAUAUGGUGUCUGUGGGUGACAGGUUUUAAUUUCUACUUCAAUGUCGAUGGUUCUAGUGGAAAUGCUGAGUCAUGGCCUGAAUCAGUGGUUGAGCACCUGGUGGGAAGGCAGGACCAACCCAAGGGAGCUCAGCUGCAUCCAAUGCACCUGACAGGAAGGAGUGAAGCCAGGAUCCACCCCUUCCCAGACCUCAUGUAAGGGUUGGCAGUGAAGAUGAGGGUAUCUUGUUGGAG
rnacentral:lncRNA from 1 species